rnacentral:rRNA from 1 species
GAUGAACGCUGGCGGCGUGCCUAAUACAUGCAAGUCGAGCGAACAGACGAUGAGCUUGCUCCUCUGACGUUAGCGGCGGACGGGUGAGUAACACGUGGAUAACCUACCUAUAAGACUGGGAUAACUUCGGGAAACCGGAGCUAAUACCGGAUAAUAUAUUGAACCGCAUGGUUCAAUAGUGAAAGACGGUUUUGCUGUCACUUAUAGAUGGAUCCGCGCCGCAUUAGCUAGUUGGUAAGGUAACGGCUUACCAAGGCAACGAUGCGUAGCCGACCUGAGAGGGUGAUCGGCCACACUGGAACUGAGACACGGUCCAGACUCCUACGGGAGGCAGCAGUAGGGAAUCUUCCGCAAUGGGCGAAAGCUUGACGGAGCAACGCCGCGUGAGUGAUGAAGGUCUUCGGAUCGUAAAACUCUGUUAUUAGGGAAGAAAAACUGUGUAAGUAACUAUGCACGUCUUGACGGUACCUAAUCAGAAAGCCACGGCUAACUACGUG